rnacentral:rRNA from 1 species
UACGUAGGGAGCAAGCGUUGUCCGGAAUCAUUGGGCGUAAAGCGCGCGUAGGUGGCCACAUAAGUCCGUUGUGAAAGUCAAAGGCUCAACCUUUGAAAGCCGAUGGAUACUGUGUGGCUAGAGUACGGAAGAGGCGAGUGGAAUUCCUGGUGUAGCGGUGGAAUGCGCAGAUAUCAGGAAGAACACCCGUGGCGAAGGCGGCUCUCUGGAACGCAACUGACGCUGAGACGCGAAAGCGUGGGGAGCAAACAGG